UGGGGAAUAUUGGACAAUGGGCGCAAGCCUGAUCCAGCCAUGCCGCGUGAGUGAUGAAGGCCCUAGGGUUGCAAAGCUCUUUUGUGCGGGAAGAUAAUGACGGUACCGCAAGAAUAAGCCCCGGCUAACUUCGUGCCAGCAGCCGCGGUAAUACGAAGGGGGCUAGCGUUGCUCGGAAUCACUGGGCGUAAAGGGUGCGUAGGCGGGUCUUUAAGUCAGGGGUGAAAUCCUGGAGCUCAACUCCAGAACUGCCUUUGAUACUGAAGAUCUUGAGUUCGGGAGAGGUGAGUGGAACUGCGAGUGUAGAGGUGAAAUUCGUAGAUAUUCGCAAGAACACCAGUGGCGAAGGCGGCUCACUGGCCCGAUACUGACGCUGAGGCACGAAAGCGUGGGGAGCAAAACAGGAUUAGAUACCCUGGUAGUCCACGCCGUAAACGAUGAAUGCCAGCCGUUAGUGGGUUUACUCACUAGUGGCGCAGCU
rnacentral:rRNA from 1 species